CUUAUUAAGAAAGGUGGAGGGAUUAGGCCCUACGAAACCUUGGCAACCAACUUUAAGUUCCGGUGAAAAUCUGAAUUGGAAAACCGGUGCCAAUUCCUAAUUCUGAAGUAAUUCGGAAGAAGAUAA
rnacentral:ncRNA from 1 species